CCUACGGGUGGCAGCAGUCGAGAAUCAUUCACAAUGGGGGAAACCCUGAUGGUGCGACGCCGCGUGGGGGAAUGAAGGUCUUCGGAUUGUAACCUCCUGUCAUGUGGGAGCAAAUUAAAAAGCUAGUACAACAAGAGGAAGCGACCGCUAACGCUGUGCCAGCAGCCGCGGUAAUACAGAGGUCCUUAGCGUGGUUCGCAAUCACUGGGUGUAAAGGGUGCGUAGACUGUUUGGUAAGUCGGGAGGGAAAGGCGGGGGCUCAACCCGGGGAUGGCACUUGAUACUGUGAGAGUGGAGUGUCGGAGGGGGAAGAGGAAUUCGUGGUGUAGAGGUGAA
rnacentral:rRNA from 1 species